rnacentral:rRNA from 1 species
UACGAAGGGGGCUAGCGUUGUUCGGAAUUACUGGGCGUAAAGCGCGCGCAGGCGGUCUUCCAAGUCAGUGGUGAAAGCCCGGAGCUCGACUCCGGAAAUGCCAUUGAAACUGUGAGACUGGAGUACGAGAGAGGUGAGUGGAAUUCCCAGUGUAGAGGUGAAAUUCGUAGAUAUUGGGAAGAACACCGGUGGCGAAGGCGGCUCACUGGCUCGUAACUGACGCUCAGGCGCGACAGCGUGGGGAUCAAACAGG